UCUCCCGGUCGCGGCCGGCUGCGACGGAGUCUGGACUCCAACCAGGAUCUCUAACUGCACAGCUUGCCUUAGACCACUGCGCCACUCAGGAUAAUUCAUUUGUUUUUCAUCAGGACAAUGUCCCAACACACCUCCAGGCGGUGUAAGGGCUAUUUUACCAAGAAGGAGAGUGACGGAGUGCUGCAUUAGAUAACCUGGCCUCCACAAUCCCCCGACCUCAACCAAAUUGAGAUGUUUUGAGAUGAGUAGGACCGCAGUGUAAAGGAAAAACAGCCAACAAGUGCUCAGCAUAUGUGUGAACUCCUUCAAGACUGUUGGAAAAGCAUUCCAGGUGAAGUUGGUUUAGAGAAUGCCAAGAGUGUGCAAAGCUGUCAUCAAGGUUCACCUUCUGAAGCCAGAUGAGGUUCCCAAAGCGUGCUGCGCACCCACCAAGCUCAGUCCCAUCUCUGUACUCUUCUACGCUGACAACAACAACGUGAUCCUAAAGAAGCAUCGCAACAUGGUGGUCAAGACCUGUGAUGCCUGUGACACCAGUGGUAGCCCAUCUAUCUAUUCUACUUAAUCAACUUAAUUGCCAUUGUUCCAAAAGAUACAUACAGGUUAAUAUAUCUUGCAACCAGCAGUUGAUAGCAAUAAUCUGUCAAUAUGCUGAUAAAUAGUAUGUAUCUAAUAUAUUGAUUUUGAGUCUGAGAGAGGUAUAUGAACAACAACUAUUGGACCUAUAACCAUACUUCACUUUUGAUUAACUAAACUAUUAAAAUCUACAGUAAUUCAGAUAAUUACAUCACCCAUUCUUGUCAUAUAUUCUGUGACCAAUCAAAGCUGUAAAGUACUGUAUCAUAAGUAUAUCAAUGCUAAAAUUCUACCCUUUUGAUGACUAUAAUAUCUUGUUGAACCAUGAAUUUGUCAUUGUCUCUUUCAGAUGUACUAAACAUGGUUUGCAAAACA